UCGAGAAUCUUUCGCAAUGGACGAAAGUCUGACGAAGCGACGCCGUGUGAGCGAAGAAGGCCUUCGGGUUGUAAAGCUCUUUCGCUAGGGAACAAGAAAAAGUGAUGAAUAAUCAUUUGAUUUGAGGGUACCUGGUAAAGAAGCACCGGCUAACUCCGUGCCAGCAGCUGCGGUAAUACGGAGGGUGCAAGCAUUAAUCGGAAUUAUUGGGCGUAAAGGGCGCGUAGGCGGAUUUGUAAGUCAGAUGUGAAAUACCGAGGCUUAACCUCGGUGCUGCAUUUGAAACUACAAAUCUAGAGGGUAGGCGGAGAAAACGGAAUUCCACAUGUAGCGGUGAAAUGCGUGGAUAUGUGGAAGAACACCGGUGGCGAAAGCGGUUUUCUAGCUUAUUCCUGACGCUGAGGCGCGAGAGCAAGGGGAGCAAACAGGAUUAGAUACCCCCGUAGUCC
rnacentral:rRNA from 1 species